GGGCCCGCACAAGCGGUGGAGCAUGUGGUUUAAUUCGAUGCAACGCGAAGAACCUUACCAGGGCUUGACAUACUACAAAUUCUUUUGAGAAAGAGAAGUGCCUUCGGGAAUGUAGAUACAGGUGGUGCAUGGCUGUCGUCAGCUCGUGUCGUGAGAUGUUGGGUUAAGUCCCGCAACGAGCGCAACCCUUAUUUUUAGUUACCAAUUCGUUGGGUUUUUUAGAAAGACUGCCGGUGACAAACCGGAGGAAGGUGAGGAUGACGUCAAGUCAGCAUGCCCCUUAUGUCCUGGGCUACACACGUGCUACAAUGGUUAAGACAAUGAGUUGCGAACUCGUGAGAGUAAGCU
rnacentral:rRNA from 1 species